rnacentral:rRNA from 1 species
UACGUAUGGAGCAAGCGUUAUCCGGAUUUACUGGGUGUAAAGGGAGCGUAGGCGGUAAGGCAAGUCUGAUGUGAAAGGCCAGGGCUCAACCCUGGGACUGCAUUGGAAACUGUUUAACUGGAGUGUCGGAGAGGCAAGUGGAAUUCCUAGUGUAGCGGUGAAAUGCGUAGAUAUUAGGAGGAACACCAGUGGCGAAGGCGGCCUGCUGGGCUUUUACUGACGCUGAGGCUCGAAAGUGUGGGGAGCAAACAGG